rnacentral:lncRNA from 1 species
UGUUCUGUGGGAUUUGGCUUGUUAAUAUUUUGUUGACGGUGUUUGCAUCUAUACUCAUAAGGGAUAUUGGUCUAUAUUUUUCUUAUGGUAUCUUUAUCUGACUUUGGUAUCAGGAUAAUGCUGGCCUCAUAGAACGUGUUAGGAAGUAUUCUUUCCUCUUCUAUUUUUGGAGAUUUUUGAGUAAGAAUGAUAUUAAUUCAUCUUUAAAUGUUUGACAGAACUUAUGGGUGAACCUAUAUGGUCUAGGCUAUUUCUUCGAUGGAAGAGUUUUGACGGAUUUAAUCUUUUUACUUAUAUAGGUCUUUUUGUUAUAUAUAGGUCUGUUGAGACUUUGUGUUUCUUUUAAGUUAUUUUUGGUAAGUCAUGGAAUUUGUCUAUUUCACCUAGAUUAUCUAACUUGUUGUCAUACGAAUUGUUCCUAUAAUUCUCUUAUAAUACUUUUAAUUUCUGUAAGGUCAGCAGUAAUAUCCCUACCUUUAUUUCUGAUUCUACUUAUUUAUGUCUUCUCUCUUUUUUCUUAGUAGUCUAGCUAAGGAUUUAUCAAUUUUGUUGGUAUUUUCUUUGAUCUCAUGGAUUAUAUUUUUUUCUCUAUUUCAUUUUUCUCUUUUCGGAUCUUCAUUAUCUUCUGCUGGCUUUGGAUUUAGUUUGCUCUUCUUUGUCUGUUUUCUUAAUGUGUAAAUUUAGGUUGAUUUGAUAUUUUUCUUUUUUAAUGCAGGCAUUUACAGCUGUAAAUUUUUCUCUGAAUACAGUUUUUCCUGCAUUUUGUAAGUUUUGGAAUGUUUGUUUUUGUUUUCAGUCAUCUUAAAUUAUUAUCUAAUUUCUCUAGUGAUUUAUUCUUUAAACCACUAAAGAAAAUUCACAAAUACCUGGAACUAAGCAAUAUACUUGUUGUGAAGCAAUAUACUUUUUGUGAACAAGUAUAUUGCUUAGUUCCAGGUGUUUGUGAAUUUUCUAGUUUUCCUUCUGUAUUGAUUACUCAUUUUAUUGUGGUUCAAAAAGAUAGUAUGUAUCACCUUAGUCUUUUUAAGCUUAUAGAUAAUUGUUUUAUGGAAGAACAUAUAGUCUAUCCUGAAGAAUGUCCCAUGUGUACUUGAGAAGACUGUAUUCUGCUAUUGUUGAGUGGAAUGUUCUGUACGUGUCUCUGGGGUCUAGUUGGUUUUGUAGUAUUGUUCAAGCCUCCUACUUCCUUAUUGGUUUUCUUUCUACUUGUCUAUCAAUUGUGGAAAGUGAGGCAUUAAGGUCUCCAACUAUUAUUGUAGAACUGUAUAUUUCUCCCUUCAGUUUUCUAAAGGUUUGUUUUAUAUAUUUUCUGGCUGUCAUAUGGUGCAUAUAUGUUUAUAAUUGUUAUAUCUUUUUGAUAAAUUGAAACUUAACAACAUAAAAUGUCCAUCUUUGCUCUUGUAACAUGUUUUUACUUAACAUCUAAUUUGUCUGUUAUUAGUAUAGCCAUCCCAGCUUUUUUUUGUUUAUAAUUUGCACAUAUUUACAUAACGUUUUAAUAGUAAAAUGCAGAUUAUGAUAUCUAAGCAAGUGAUGGUGGUUCAAAAUAAAUUUUUGUCAUGUUAUUGUUUAUUCAUUUAGUGGAGUUAUUUUUAAAAUGUCAAGCAAGGUUUUUCUUAUAAGCUAAAAUAAUAGAUGCAGGAAAGCUAAUAUUCAGAGGAAAAUUUGCUGUUUUUAUACUUAUAUGUAUAUUUUUAAGGGUUAAUAUUGCUUACUAUAGAAUUUAUUCCUUUGUGAUUAUGAAUUCCUUGCAUUUCUUUCUAGCUAAGAGUUGAUGCUUGCUGUACACUUGAGUUUAUUGUGUGUAUCUUGUCCUAGUUGCAUUAAUAGUCUACACAGUCAACUAUAGUUCUCAAAUAAUAGUCAUAUUAAUUGCUACCAGAUUAUUACAUAUAUGAAUAUAUAUUUUAUAUAUAGUAUAUAUAUGUAUUUAUGUAUAUAUACUUUAAUGAUACUAAAUGUAGAUAUCAAGUCAGCUUUUUAUACAUUAUAUCCAAUGGACUUUUCAUUUGACUUCUUAACCUCUGAAAAUGUAGAUCACAUAAACUCUUGAAAAUAUACUAUGGCUUUUAAAGUUCUUAGAAUAUAUCAGGUAAGUAUAUUCUACACAUUUUUCUCUAGAUAUACCACCAUACAAAGAUGAGCAUUUUAUGGUGAUACCAUUGCAUAGAAGUAAAUUUAGUAUCAAUUUACUUUAGUUUUCUAAUAUCAGUUUCUCUUCAAAUUUUUGAGAGAAAAGUUUAGGCUUAGACUGUCAAUGCAAGAUUGAUUUAGAAAUACAUGAAUUUGAUUUUUUUCCUUUUGGGAAAAUUAUUUUGAAGCCUGUAGUGCUUUACUUAUAGAGAGUUUUAUAUUUUAAAAACACCUGCUAUAAUAUUUUACAAAAAAUGAUUUAUUAUGGAAAUAACUUACAUGUACCUUUUGAUAAUUAUAAGGACAUUAAAGUCGCAAAGUGAUCUGUGAAUGUUCCUACCUUGUCUUUUUUUUCCCCCAAUAGUUGUUGCUCAUUGUUUUGGUUCUCCAUCUUCCUUCCAAUUCUCUAAUAAUCCUUUAGGAUCAGUACCUAAUCCCAGCAAACAAAAAUAUUCAACAAGUCUCUGCGAAUUACGAUGAAGAAAAGAUGAAUUUUAAUUAAAAAGAGGUGAGCUAUUAAUAUGUAUUACUGUCAACUUUGUGCUCAGUAACGUGGGAUUCACAGUAAGAACAAUGAUAUAGAAAGUCAAAGAUAACAAUACAGAAAUACUUGUUCAGUAAGCUUUUAGCAUAUAUGAGCUAUCUGAAAUGUACAAUUGUGUGUCCUAUCCAUGUAAAAGUUUGCCUUUCUGUAAAGGAAAUAAUGCAUUAGGUAAUGCUGUUAAACAACAUAGUGGUUAAGACUCUAGAUGCUAGUGUAAGACUGGCCAUAUUCAAAAUCUGGCUCAAUUGCUCACUGAUAAUGUAAACUUAGACAAACUACUUAAUAUCUUUAAACCUUAGCUUUUUUGUCCAUAGAACAAGGAUAAUAUCAGUACCUAUCUCAUUCAGUUGCUGCAAGAUGGUGUUUAGAAGAAUAAUAAAAUUUUAAUAAAAGCUUAGUUGUCUUAUAACUAAAAUCUAUUGGAAAAACUCAUGCCUGUAAUCCUAACACUUUGGGAGGCCAAGGCAGGCAGAUCAUUUGAGGCCAGGAGUUGGAGACCAGCCUGUCCAACAUGGCAAAACCUCAUUUCUACUAAAAAAUACAAAAAUUAGCUGAGCAUGGUGACAAGUGCCUGUAGUCCCAGCUACUCAGGAGGUUGAAGCACAAGUAUCACUUGAACCUGGGAGGCAGAGGUUGCAGUGAGUCAAGAUUGUGCCACUGUACUCUGGCCUGGGUGACAGAGUGAGACUCAGUUUCAAAAAAAAAAAAAAAUCUAUUGUUUUUAAAAAUGCAUUGACCAAGUUAGAGAAAUAGUUAUAUAAGGUAAGUUGUGUGAAUGUAUGUUUUUACAUUUAUUUUGUAAUAUAAAGAAGGCUGUGUACUUGUAUAAUGCAUUCAUUUCUAAAAGAAAUAACUGAAUUUCAUAUUUUCAGAAAGACAUUAUGAUGAAUAAUUUAUAAAAUUUUAUUUAUUAAAUAUUUAGCUUUGUUAGAUACAAUUUUUCUUACCAGGCUUUGAUUGCAGUAGUAAGGGAACGUUUACUAAAAAGCCGUUGUUGUCUCACAUAUGUCCUUAUGCUGAUGUGUCAUUUGUAAAUGGAGACACUGGAUCUUUAAUGCUUUUUCCCCCUCAAGGAGAGUUCCUACCAAGUAGAAAAUAAAACUGGUUUGCUGAUAGUUUUUUUAAAUUUACCUAUUCUAUGCAUUGUUCCAGAAUGGAUAUGAAACUUUCAUUAUUGAGUUAGGCUGAUUUCAUUACCAGUCAAUUCAGUGAAGAAAGAAAGGCCAAUCAAAUCACAUGCUAUCUUGAUAAAACAACUAAUAUUAUCCAUCUACCUACCUAUCUAUAUUAUUUUACAAUUUCACUUCAUGUAUUUUAUAGGAGCUUACACUGUUCGAAAACAUGUUCUGACUUGUGUUUAUAUACACUUUUUUUUUGGGGGGACGGAGUCUCACUCUGUCGCCCAGGCUGGAGUGCAGUGGCACGAUCUCAGCUCACUGCAAGCUCCACCUCCUGGGUUCACGCCAUUCUCCUGCCUCAGCCUCCCAAAUAGCUGGGACUAGAGGCGCCUGCCACCACGCCCAGCUAAUUUUUUUUUUUUUUUUUUUUGUAUUUUUAGUAGAGACGAGGUUUCACCGUAUUAGCCAGGAUGGUCUUGAUCUCCUGACCUCGUGAUAAGCCCGCCUCCGCCUCCCAAAGUGCUGGGAUUACAGGCGUGAGCCACCGCACCCAGCCGUGUUUAUAUACACUUUAAGACACUGAAUUGUGACUACCUCAAAAUUGUUUGGUCCAGCCCAGUAACACUUAUUUACACAGAUUAGAUACCAGACACUGUUUUGGGUGUGGUCUUUCAGCCCAGUAACACUUACUAAACACAGAUUAGAUACCAGAUACUGUUCUGGGUGUGGUCUCCAGAAACAGAUCAGGGACCUCCAAGGAUAUAUUUUAAUGAAAUAAUGUCACUUUUAUUCAUAAAAUGAUAUCUCCCAGAUUGCCUGUGUGGUAUGGUGUCUCUCAAACAUUUCCCCACAAUACUUUGUAUGGCACCCUAUACUUCUCUGUAGCAGGCUUCACAUUUAUAAAUAAUUACUUGUUUAUAGCAAUCACACCUUUGUUAGAGCACAAGUUCCAAGAAGAUAAGUCCAUUUUAUUCAUUACUGUAUGCCCAGAUCUUAAUAAUGGCUGGCACUUAGCAGGCUUUGAAUACAUUUUUAUAACAUGAAAGACUUUCUGACAUUACCUCUGAUGGCAAUAUGAGUCACAUACCUCUUAAGUUAUGGGGCAUAAUCCAAAGCUGUCUCCUCUAACAAUCAGAAAAUACCUUUGAAGUUCCCUGUUUUAUUUACUUUUAAAAUGUAUGAUACUUUUAAAUUCUCAUCCAUUAUGUUUCUUUUAAUGUGUGUUUUGUUAUUCUUAAAAAUGGAUACUUUAGGAAAUGUAUCAUGGUUUUAAGGAUACAUCUGUGUGUGGCAUAUGGGCUUUGGAAUUGGAACUCUUGAAAAUCUGCCUUGAUUUUUAGCAAAUAUCUUAAACUUGAGUUAGCAGCUGAAAAAUGGGGCUGAGAAUAUUUACCUUGAAGGCUUUUGUUGUUGUUUUUUAAGAGAGUAAAAUGAAAUGUGCUUAAAGUUCUUGGUUUUUGUUUGUUUGUUUGAGACAGAGUCUCACUCUGUGGUUCCAUGGUGGAGUUCAGUGGCAUCAUCUUAGCUCACUGCAGCCUUGAAUUUCUGGGCUCGAGUGAUCCUCCUACCUCAGCCUCCCAAAUAGCUGGGACUACAGGUGCAUGCCGCCAUGCAGCUAAUUUUUAAAUUUUUUUUGUAAAGACAGGAUCUCACUAUGUUGCCCAGGCUGGUCUCAAACUCCUGGACUCAAGUGAUCUUCCCGCCUUGGCCUCCCAAAAUGCUAGGAUUACAGGCAUUAGUCACCAGUCCCAGCCUGAAAUGUACUUAAAGUUAUUAGCAUACAUAAUAUACCCUCAAAUAUUGUUCCCUUUUCCUUUUUUUUUUUUUUUUUUUUUUUUCGAGACAGGGUCUUGCUCUGUCACCCAGGCUAGAGUGCAGUAGUGCAAUCAUAGCUCACUGCAGACUCGAAAUUCUAGAUUCAAAUGACCCUCUUGAGUAACUAGAACUACAGAUGUGGGCACCCACAACCUGCUAAUUUUUUAAUUUUUUUGUAAAGAGGGGGUCUCACUAUGUUGCCCAGGCUGGUCCCUUUUUCCUUCUUACUAGAAAAUUUCUAGCUCCCUUCCAAGAAUCUCAGCUUAUACCUGGUUCUUUCAAUAUGUGGUUAAUAACUGUCAACUAAGGACUGAAAGUAUUUUCAAUCCUUGAGCCAUGCCUAUGGCUCUUCAUCUGGGGGACAGAACUCUUUAACUGAGUAUAAUGAACACCUCAUAGAUUACAUUUUCUAGGCAAAAUUUUUAACCAAUGCCAACAAUGUCCACAGAGAAAAAUUAGAUUGAAUUAACUUUUAUUACUACUUGUUUAACACAGAUUUACUUGUCUUAGACAAGUAAGAAUUUAUAGAAUCUAUGCUCUAUUGCACUAUAUAGAAACUAGAAAUGCAGUUAUACUGAUGUAGUGCAGUUUGUGGGAAAUCAGGAAUGGUGUUCUCCAGAAUACAUGAAGAUUCUCAUUGAUUGUUGCAAGGAAUCACGAAAGAGAUCUUUGGUCCAAAGAAAACGUCUCUGAAAGAAAAUAGAGCAUCAAUUAAAUUCACCUUAAGGCUAAGAUAUUAGUUAGUCUAUUCUAGGUUAAAAAUAGACAGUGAUUUCCAGGAUUUCAGUUAUGAUUAUUCUUUUUAGGUGACUAAAAUGUAAAGAGAUGAGUGGGAGGACUUGCCACAGAAGCAACAAAGACCGAGAAGGCAAUACACUUUGUGAUACCAUUUCCUUACUUUGGGCAGCAGAGCAAUUCGCUGAAGUUGCAGUAACAGAUCAUCUCACAUCCCUUCCCAUCCCAGAAAUGAUCCUGGACAUUGACAUCAAUCUGUGUCAGGCUUGACUCCUUCUGGGCUCACCAAGGCUGGCAGUAUGGGGAGAAGCAGCAGCUGGUUUCGGCCUUCACAGCUCACAUCUUCCCAGGAGAGAGGUCCUGAGUUAUUGCCCUAAUCUUCUCAAAGCUGUUUCACAGACACAAGCAUCUGGUGAGUUGAUAAUGUUAAUGAUAAUAGCAAUGAUACUAGUAAUAAUAAUGCUAUUAACUGCAUUGCCAAGUGUGCUAAACAUUUUGCAAAUGUUGUCUUAUUUAGUACACGCAACUUACUUACAUGAGGUAGUUUCCAGAUGGGGGAACUGGGGUUCAAAAAAAUUAAGCACUUGGCCAAGAUCACACAGCUGAUAAGUAGUGGAGCACAAACUGGAAACCAAGACAAAACUGUGCUCUUAGCCUGCUGCCACAAUAAAUAGCAAAAGAAAUAGAAUGAGAAAUUGGAGAACCUAAAACAACAGUACCUUUUUAAAAAAUUGUAGCCCAUAAUUUGAAUGUGCAUGAAUCACACCUGCUCUCUGUGAGCCACAGAGUCGUCUCUCUUUUACUGUGUUUCCUCCGUCCAUCUUCUGUUCAUAUUUGGCUUGAAACAGUUCUUAACUGGACAGUCAGAAACUUAAAGCAGCUGAAUGGUGUUUUCUACAAAGUCAGAUAUGGACAGUUGCCAAAAUAUCAGUCCUUGGGACAGAGUUUUUAAGUGAUUAUAAUUCUAGGAGUAAAACCAGUCACUCAGUAAAUAUUUGUUAAAUGAAUGAAUGAGUUAAUGAAUAAAUGAGUGAGGGGAUUAGAUUCUUGGGUACAGGAGAGGUUCUUGGGAAGUAAUCAUUCAUAAUUAUUUAUUGUGUGUCUGCUGUGUACCAUGAAUGAUAUUGCAGUGUCGCUGAAGGCAAAGUUCAGCAACUGAUCACUAUUUCUUCAAGGUCCUCUCCAAAGCACAAGCUACUUGGCCAGCCUGGCUGCUGAGUCCUAAUGUAAACCCUCAGUCUUCUCCCUUGUAAAAUAAGGGGUUUAAUUGAUUGUUUUUAUUGCUCUUCUACUUCCCAUUUUUCUAUGAGUAUAUGAUUCUAAAUAUCAUUUUUAAACAAACAUUUUUAUUUUAAAAUAGUUUUUCAUUUACAGAAAAACUGUUAGCUUAGUACAGAGACUUCCUAUAUACCCUAUAUCCAGUUUCCUCUAUUAUUUAACUCUUACAUUAGUGUGGUCCAUUUUUUAUAAUUAAUAAAUCUACAUUAAUACAUUAUUAUUAACUAAAGUUCAUACUUUAUUUAUUUGUACUUAGUUUUUACCUUUUCUGUUGCGGGAUCCCCUGCCCAGAACACCACAUUACAUUUAGUUGUAGUGUCUCUUCAGGCUCCUCAGUGUCUCCGACUUUGCCUGUUUUUGAUGACUUUGACCGUUUUGAGGAAUACUGGUCAAGUAUUUUGUAGAAUGCCUCUCAACUUAGAUCUGUCUAAUAUUGGUCUUAUGGUUAAACUUGGGUUAUGUGUUUGUAGAAAGAGGACCACAGAGUUAAAGUGCCAUUUCCAUCAUGUCAUAUCACACAUGAACAUACAGGUCAGGAACGUGACUUAUCACUAUUGAUUUAACUUCAAUCACCUGGCUCAAGUCGUUUUCGUUAUGUGGCUCCACUGCACAUUUACUCUUUUUCUCCCCCUUUCCAUAGUACACUCUGUGGAAGGAAGUCCCUAUGCAUGGUCCAUAUGUAAGGAGUGGGAAGUUAUGCUCUACCUCUUUGAGGGCGGAGUAACUACAUAAAUUUUGGAGAAUUUUUCUUCACAUGAAAUUUGUCCAUCAUUGCUUAUUUAUUUACUUGUAUUAGGAUGAACUCAUGUAUAUUUAUUCUAUACUUUGGAUUAUUUUAUACUUUGGAUUAAAAUAUUCCUUGCUCAAACUGUCCCAGCUUUUGCCUUUAGGGGCUCCUUUAGUUGCCUCUUGUGUCUCUAUGGCAUGCCCCAUCAAGGUCGUGGUUUUUGGUUUUGUUUUGUUUUUGUGCACUUUCUUCCUUUCUGGCACUAAAAGAUUGCUCCAAGCUCAUCUUGUGUAUUUCCUGUCCCAGUACUAGAAUCAGCCAUUUCUCCAAGGAGCCCUGGUUCCUUUCAUUGAAGAAUAAAUUAGAAACCAAGAUCUGGGAGCUAGGUGUGCUCACUAGUACUGGUGUGUCAUAGCUUCUCAUUCCUCUCAGCUGACAGAGCAAGGAAAUAUACUGUGUAUACCAACCUGUGUAAAUACACAUAUCUAUGAAUAUUGCUAUGCAUAACUGUCUGUAUCUACAACAACCUAAACAUGAGUUUAUUCUGAUGCCUCCAACUCUAAUCCAUUACUACGUGAAUCAUUUGAGCUUCCUCCUCUUGCUCAUCUGUAACCUCCUGCUCCAGCAGUGGGAACCUAACUCCUACUAUCAGCCACUUAUUUAAUUGUUCAUUUCCAGUAUACAUGUAUAGCAGCAUCGGAAUUGUUGGCACAUACCUCAUGG